AAAGUCGUAACAAGGUCUCCGUUGGUGAACCAGCGGAGGGAUCAUUACAGAGUUGCAAAACUCCCAAAACCAUCGUGAACGUUACCCAUCGUUGCUUCGGCGGGCGGGCCCCGUGCCCCACCCGGCCCCUCGCGGGCGCCCGCCGGAGGUACCCAACUCUUGACUACCAUAUGGCCUCUCUGAGUCUUCUGUACUGAAUAAGUCAAAACUUUCAACAACGGAUCUCUUGGUUCUG
rnacentral:misc_RNA from 1 species